GACGAACGCUGGCGGCGUGCCUAAUACAUGCAAGUAGGACGCAGUUGCGAACGGGAGAGUAACGCGUAGGUAACUGCAUAUUAGCGGGUGGUAACUAUUGGAAACGAUAGCUAAUACCGCAUACUAGUAGAUGGACCUGCGGUGUAUUAGCUAGUAGGUAGUGUAAUGGCCUACCUAGGCGACGAUACAUAGCCGACCUGAGAGGGUGAUCGGCCACACUGGUACUGAGACACGGCCCAAACUCCUACGGGGUGAAGCAGUAGGGAAUCGUCGGCAAUGGGGGAAUCCCGGACCGAGCAACGCCGCGGGAUUGAGGAAGGUUUUCGGAUCGUAAAGCUCUGUUGUUAAGGAAGCGGUACUUAACCAGAAAGGUACGGCUAACUACGUGCCAGCAGCCGCGGUAAUAC
rnacentral:rRNA from 1 species